AGAACGAACGCUGGCGGCAUGCCUAAUACAUGCAAGUCGAACGAACUCUUCGGAGUUAGUGGCGCACGGGUGCGUAACGCGUGGGAAUCUGCCCCUUGGUUCGGAAUAACAGUUGGAAACGACUGCUAAUACCGGAUGAUGACGAAAGUCCAAAGAUUUAUCGCCAAGGGAUGAGCCCGCGUAGGAUUAGCUAGUUGGUGAGGUAAAGGCUCACCAAGGCAACGAUCCUUAGCUGGUCUGAGAGGAUGAUCAGCCACACUGGGACUGAGACACGGCCCAGACUCCUACGGGAGCAGCAGUAGGGAAUAUGGACAAUGGGCGAAGGCCUGACCCAGCAAAUGCCGCGUGAGUGAUGAGGGCCUUAGGGUUGUAAAGCUCUUUUACCCGAGAUGAUAAUGACAGUAUCGGAGAAUAAGCCCCGGCUAACUCCGCGCCAGCAGCCGC
rnacentral:rRNA from 1 species